rnacentral:misc_RNA from 1 species
UUGGCUACGCGAGCGCAUGAGUUGUGCUGGACCUGUGACUAUCGAGAGGCCCCCCGUCGUUGUGUGGCCAACUCUCGGUGCCUAUGUCCUUUCAAUCGUUGGCUAUUAUGUGCCUGACCAUUUGAUGAGUGCUUGCGUGCUGCUACCAGUCGCACUGGGAGUUGCAUUUGCUACAUGUUGUUUUCGACGUGCGCGCCCCUAGGGGCAUGUCACGUCGACUUGAAAGUGUCCACGGUGUUGCCUCAUGUAGUUGGCUGCAUAGGCCAGCAUCAUCAAGGCCACCUCAUGAAUGCAAUUGGCCCCGGAUGCGGCUUACUCUAAAGGCUGAAGGUGCUUCGGCGCCCGUGCCUAGCAAAGAUUGUCCGUUUGGAAACAACGACAGCUAGCCCGGCUGAUGUCCCGUGCGGAGGCCAGUGCUUGCUCGUCGACGAGGACGUGCUACCUGGUUGAUCCUGCCAGUAGUCAUAUGCUUGUCU